AACGAACGCUGGCGGCGUGCUUAACACAUGCAAGUCGAACGCGAAAGGGACUUCGGUCCUGAGUAAAGUGGCGCACGGGUGAGUAACGCGUAGAUAACCUGUCUUCAUGUCUGGAAUAAUACGCCGAAAGGGGUACUAAUACCGGAUAUUCUUGCUUUUCAUAGGUUAUGCAAGCAAAGGUGGCCUCUGCAUAUGCUACUGCAUGAAGAGGGGUCUGCGUACCAUUAGCUAGUAGGUGGGGUAAUGGCCUACCUAGGCGACGAUGGUUAGCGGGUCUGAGAGGAUGAUCCGCCACACUGGCACUGGAACACGGGCCAGACUCCUACGGGAGGCAGCAGUGAGGAAUAUUGCGCAAUGGGGGAAACCCUGACGCAGCGACGCCGCGUGAGUGAGGAAAGGCCUUCGGGUCGUAAAGCUCUGUCAAGAGGAAAGAAGUGUACAAUGGCUAAUACCUGUUGUAUUUGACGGUACCUCUAAAGGAAGCACCGGCUAACUCCGUGCCAGCAGCUGC
rnacentral:rRNA from 1 species